rnacentral:misc_RNA from 1 species
GAUGAAGAACGUAGCGAAAUGCGAUAAGUAGUGUGAAUUGCAGAAGUACCGUGAAUCAUCGAAUCUUUGAACGCAAAUUGCACUCUCUGGUAUUCCGGGGAGUAUGCCUGUUUGAGGGUCGCUUAACAAACCAUCGAUUUCGUUGCUUUUUUUUUUAAAGUGAUGUUUAUCGGAUUUGAGCCGUCUUUUUUUUUAUAUUUAAGUGGGUUAAAAUUGAUUUUUUUGGUACGAUCGAAGCGUAUUUUUAUGAUCAAUUUUUGGUUAAAGAAACGCACACGUACCGUUAUUUAUAUGAUGUAAUACGUUUGACUAUUGGAUUUAGUUCAUUCGUAUACGAUAUCUUUCAAUAUUUGACCUCAAAUCAGGUAAGAACACCCGCUGAACUUAAGCAUAUCAAUAAGCGGAGGA